UACCAUUUCAGAAAUGAUAAUAUGGUAUAAAUCAAGGAAUAAUUUCUCAAAAACUAUUAGUAAUAAUCUACAAAAUCCCGGAAGUAAUCAGAAAACGGAAAUAAAACAAUAUUUCCUCCCCUUUAAUGCAAUUCCAUUUACGACCAACAAUGCGUGGAAUUCCAGUCAUUUGUGUAAUCAACUCAGUCGGAGAACAUGAUAUUCGUCUAGUGGAAUUAACAAUCCCCAUUCCGUCAAUUUCUUGUUUCCUGCGCUUAAUUAAACUCCCAUUGUUCUAGAGACACAAAGAGAGGGAAGAAAAAAUCUUCCCCAACCUCCGGCCCCUGUAAAUCGGUUUACUCCGCAUAAUUACUAUGUGAGAGGGGAAGCCAACUUAUAGGUGGUGGAAAAUUCAAAUUGUACUGACUGACAUUUCUCAAGUCAUUAAGUCAGAAAGCGUGAAAGGAUAGAAGUGUGGUUAGGAUAGGCAAUCGAUAUCUCAAACGACGGCAUUCUAGCCACUGCGCAGUGCUAUGACACUGUCGCUAUGCCGACCUGGGUUGCCUUCGCCACCGCCCUGUGUGUUGCCUAAAUCCAAUUUCUCUAUACUUUUCAUCUCCCGAUUUAAGUAGACAGCGCAUUGUUCGUCUUGCAAGUUCUCCAUCUCAAAUAUAACUGAAGAAAAUUGAUAGAGAAGUUUUAUAUGAAAGAACGGUCGGAUACAUGGAUCCGUAGCAGAAAGAUGGGGAAUUGCGAAACUUGAAACGCCAUGUUGGAUAUUGGAAAACGAUUUUUCCGAAGAAUUCAGACGUUUCUGGUGGACCAGCCAGGUGCUGCCAUCGGAAAAAUGAAUUUAAAAUUUCCAACAAGUCACAGCCAGAUCGAAAAUCAAAUAGAAUCAUUUGUAACAAAUUUUAGAAAAAACGGUUCUGUUUUCUUUAGUAAUCUGAGUGUUGACUCUUGUGGUUCCAGUGUUGGACAAUUAACGCCUUCCGAUGAAAGUCUCUGCGAUCACCAUUUUUCGUCAAAAAAAGUCGGGCGAAUGGGACGAAGAUCGCCUUAUCCCAGAUCAUCGUGUUAUUAUGACUCUUCUUCAUGUGAAGAUAUCCUCCUCACUGAUAAUAGUAAGUUUUGAAUUCAUAAAUAAACGAAUUUCUUCAUUAACUUCACAAGAGAUGCGGUGAUUGUUUUCUUAAUUUUAAAAUUUCGUGCAAAUAUAUAUAAUACUUUGACAAUAUUUUGUAUGUAAACAAUGCAAAAAUGAUAGAUAAAUUUAUGUACAUCACUUAAAUUUUAAACGACAGUAUU
rnacentral:misc_RNA from 1 species